GACAGAGGAUGCAAGCGUUAUCCGGAAUCAUUGGGUUUAAAGGGUCCGUAGGCGGUUUGGUAAGUCAGUGGUGAAAGCCCAUCGCUCAACGGUGGAACGGCCAUUGAUACUGCCAGACUUGAAUUAUUAGGAAGUAACUAGAAUAUGUAGUGUAGCGGUGAAAUGCUUAGAGAUUACAUGGAAUACCAAUUGCGAAGGCAGGUUACUACUAAUGGAUUGACGCUGAUGGACGAAAGCGUGGGUAGCGAACAGG
rnacentral:rRNA from 1 species